rnacentral:rRNA from 1 species
AACCCUGCCUGUUUACCAAAAACAUCACCUCUAGCAUAAACAGUAUUAGAGGCACUGCCUGCCCAGUAACAUGUUUAAUGGCCAUGGUAUCCUGACCAUGCAAAGGUAGCAUAACCAUUUGUUCCUUAAAUAGGGAUGGUAUGAAUGGCUUAACGGGGUU